ensembl:snRNA U6 U6 spliceosomal RNA
GUGCUUGCUUCAGCAGUAUUUUACUAAAAAAUCAUUGGAAAAAUAUUAGAGAAGAUUAGCAUGGGCCCUGCACAAGGAUGCCAUGCAACUUCGUGAAGUAUACAUAUAUAUA